rnacentral:rRNA from 1 species
GAUGAACGCUGGCGGCGCGCCUAAUACAUGCAAGUCGAGCGAACAGACGAGGAGCUUGCUUCUCUGACGUUAGCGGCGGACGGGUGAGUAACACGUGGAUAACCUACCUAUAAGACUGGGAUAACUUCGGGAAACCGGAGCUAAUACCGGAUAAUAUAUUGAACCGCAUGGUUCAAUAGUGAAAGACGGUUUUGCUGUCACUUAUAGAUGGAUCCGCGCCGCAUUAGCUAGUUGGUAAGGUAACGGCUUACCAAGGCAACGAUGCGUAGCCGACCUGAGAGGGUGAUCGGCCACACUGGAACUGAGACACGGUCCAGACUCCUACGGGAGGCAGCAGUAGGGAAUCUUCCGCAAUGGGCGAAAGCCUGACGGAGCAACGCCGCGUGAGUGAUGAAGGUCUUCGGAUCGUAAAACUCUGUUAUUAGGGAAGAACAAAUGUGUAAGUAACUAUGCACGUCUUGACGGUACCUAAUCAGAAAGCCACGGCUAACUACGUG